UACAGAGGGGGCAAGCGUUGUUCGGAAUUACUGGGCGUAAAGGGCUCGUAGGCGGCCAACUAAGUCAGACGUGAAAUCCCUCGGCUUAACCGGGGAACUGCGUCUGAUACUGGAUGGCUUGAGUUUGGGAGAGGGACGCGGAAUUCCAGGUGUAGCGGUGAAAUGCGUAGAUAUCUGGAGGAACACCGGUGGCGAAGGCGGCGUCCUGGACCAACACUGACACUGAUGAGCGAAAGCCAGGGGAGCAAACGGG
rnacentral:rRNA from 1 species